GGAAACGAGCCAUCUGGCAUAGACAUCUGCCAUAACAUUGACCUUCAGGGUAUCUUGGCUGCUCUGCCUGACCCGGCAGGUGCCUACAACUUUCUUCAUAACUCUUAGUUGUUCUUCCACAUUGGCCACCUUUUCUCAUAUAGAAGAGAGUGUUUUUAAUUAAGGUUAUAGGAACAUGAAUGUAACUUUUUAGAACCUCUAAAAUCAGAUUUAAAAGACCAUAAAAAGUGCAAUUAUUUUCACUUAUUUCCAGAAAAUUCACUAUAGAUAGUAAUUUUU
rnacentral:snRNA from 1 species